rnacentral:ncRNA from 2 species
ACUGCAUUACGAGCACUUAAAGU